GUUUUGUGUCGCCAUUUUUUGUGUCUUGAUGUUGAACGAAAAUGAAGAGUUUAAUUGAUUUUUUUCGUUUUUUUUAUUGGAAUGUGUUUGAAGAGUUCUUGGCAGUCAGCCAUCAAAAAUCAUUUCAGGAAUAUCAUGAAAACUGAACGAGUUGCUGCUGGAAAUGGAACUGGAGUUGCAGCAGUGGUAAAACCAGAGAUAAAAAGAAAAGAAAAUGUGAGGAGAAUGAAUCCAUUGACGAAAUUAUCCAGAAGUUGUUUUUUCCACGGCUGAGGUCAGGCAACCUCAAAGAAGUCAUCCCACUCUACUUCACUGCCGAGGGGAGGAGAAUAAUAAUAAUAAUA